rnacentral:rRNA from 1 species
ACGCUGACAGAAUGCUUAACACAUGCAAGUCUACUUGAACUUCGGUUUGGGUGGCGGACGGGUGAGUAACGCGUAAAGAACUUGCCUCACAGUUAGGGACAACAUUUGGAAACGAAUGCUAAUACCUGAUAUUAUGAUUUUAGGGCAUCCUAAAAUUAUGAAAGCUAUAUGCGCUGUGAGAGAGCUUUGCGUCCCAUUAGCUAGUUGGAGAGGUAACGGCUCACCAAGGCGAUGAUGGGUAGCCGGCCUGAGAGGGUGAACGGCCACAAGGGGACUGAGACACGGCCCUUACUCCUACGGGAGGCAGCAGUGGGGAAUAUUGGACAAUGGACCAAAAGUCUGAUCCAGCAAUUCUGUGUGCACGAUGACGUUUUUCGGAAUGUAAAGUGCUUUCAGUUGGGAAGAAAAAAAUGACGGUACCAACAGAAGAAGUGACGGCUAAAUACGUGCCAGCAGCCGCGGUAAUACGUAUGUCACAAGCGUUAUCCGGAUUUAUUGGGCGUAAAGCGCGUCUAGGUGGUUAUGUAAGUCUGAUGUGAAAAUGCGGGGCUCAACUCUGUAUUGCGUUGGAAACUGCAUGACUAGAGUACUGGAGAGGUAAGCGGAACUACAAGUGUAGAGGUGAAAUUCGUAGAUAUUUGUAGGAAUGCCGAUGGGGAAGCCAGCUUACUGGACAGAUACUGACGCUAAAGCGCGAAAGCGUGGGUAGCAAACAGGAUUAGAUACCCUGGUAGUCCACGCCGUAAACGAUGAUUACUAGGUGUUGGGGGUCGAACCUCAGCGCCCAAGCUAACGCGAUAAGUAAUCCGCCUGGGGAGUACGUACGCAAGUAUGAAACUCAAAGGAAUUGACGGGGACCCGCACAAGCGGUGGAGCAUGUGGUUUAAUUCGACGCAACGCGAG